GUUUGAUCCUGGCUCAGAGCGAACGCUGGCGGCAGGCUUAACACAUGCAAGUCGAGCGGGCGUAGCAAUACGUCAGCGGCAGACGGGUGAGUAACGCGUGGGAACGUACCUUUUGGUUCGGAACAACACAGGGAAACUUGUGCUAAUACCGGAUAAGCCCUUACGGGGAAAGAUUUAUCGCCGAAAGAUCGGCCCGCGUCUGAUUAGCUAGUUGGUAGGGUAAUGGCCUACCAAGGCGACGAUCAGUAGCUGGUCUGAGAGGAUGAUCAGCCACAUUGGGACUGAGACACGGCCCAAACUCCUACGGGAGGCAGCAGUGGGGAAUAUUGGACAAUGGGGGCAACCCUGAUCCAGCCAUGCCGCGUGAGUGAUGAAGGCCCUAGGGUUGUAAAGCUCUUUUGUGCGGGAAGAUAAUGACGGUACCGCAAGAAUAAGCCCCGGCUAACUUCGUGCCAGCAGCCGCGGUAAUACGAAGGGGGCUAGCGUUGCUCGGAAUCACUGGGCGUAAAGGGUGCGUAGGCGGNUCUUUAAGUCAGGGGUGAAAUCCUGGAGCUCAACUCCAGAACUGCCUUUGAUACUGAANAUCUUGA
rnacentral:rRNA from 1 species